rnacentral:rRNA from 1 species
GAAGUAGGUGGCAAGCGUUGUCCGGAUUUACUGGGCGUAAAGAGCGCGCAGGCGGUCGUUCAAGUCGCGUGUGAAAGCCCCCGGCUCAACUGGGGAGGGUCACGCGAUACUGAUCGACUCGAAGGCAGGAGAGGGUAGUGGAAUUCCCGGUGUAGUGGUGAAAUGCGUAGAUAUCGGGAGGAACACCAGUGGCGAAGGCGACUACCUGGCCUGUUCUUGACGCUGAGGCGCGAAAGCUAGGGGAGCAAACGGG